AUAAAGUUUUAUUCCGGCUUAUUUAAUUAAUCAAUAGAUUUUUUUAUAUGUAAAUUUUUGUAGUUAUGUAUUUUAAUUUAAAUAAUUAAAAUAUUAGCAUUUAAACGCAGUAAUAAGUAUUAAAUAUUAAUAAAAAUUAGAUUUAGAAAUUUAUAUAAGUAUUGACAAAAUUUGUGCCAGCAGUUGCGGUUAUACAUAUAAUGCAAUUAAUUAAUUUUAGCUUAUAAUUAAUUUGUUUAAUAAAAAUAUAUAUUAGAAUUUAUUAGGUGGAAUUUUAAAUUUUAAAAAUUUUUAUAAUAGAUAAUGAAAUUAUUAAAUUUAGCAUUAAACUAGGAUUAGAUACCCUAUUAUUAUAAAUGUAAAUUAUAAAGCUUAAUUAGUAUUAGUUAUGUUCUUUAAAGUUAAAGAAUUUGGCGGUAUUUUAGUCUAUUUAGAGGAACCUGUCCUAUAAUCGAUAAUCCACGAUUUAUUUUACUUAUUUUAAUUAGUUUGUAUAUCGUCGUCAUUUGAAUAUUUUAAGAGAAUAGUAAUAUUCAAGAUUCAUAAUUAUGGAGAAAAUCAGAUCAAGGUGCAGCUUAUAAAUAAGGAGAGAUGGGUUACAAUAAAUUUAUUUAUAUGGUAUGAAUUUUGAAAAAUUUCAUUAAAGUGGAUUUAAAAGUAAUAAGGUUAAAUUUAAUCAUAUGAUUUUAGCUCUAGAAUAUGUACAUAUCGCCCGUCGCUCUCGUUUAAAAUGAGAUAAGUCGUAACAUAGUAGAUGUACUGGAAAGUGUAUCUAGUAAGAC
rnacentral:ncRNA from 1 species